UUCUCACGUCUCACCUUCAACGUCAUCUUUCUCUUUCUUUCUUUCUCUCUUUCUCUCUCUCUCUCUCUCUCUAUAUAUAUAUAUAUAUAUAUAUAUAUAUAUAUAUAUCACGGGCGGAAAUCGCUUAAGCCACGCUGGCAAUUUCCCCAGCAACGAUGGAGCUCCAAUCACGAAGAAACCACCACCCUCUUCUUCCUCUUCUCAUCCUCUUUCCAACCUCAACCAUCAUUAUCUCUAACGCCUAAUAAAAUACACAAAAUCUCAACCUAAAGUAAACCCUAAUUUCAUGGAAAACCCAAAUUAAACACUACUAGAUUAUUGAUUCUAGCAAUAGUCAUGGGGAAAUGAGUCAUAGUAAUAAGAGGGGCAAGACUCUAUGAAGAAAUUGGUGAAAAGAAGGAUGAAGACCCUACCAACGCAACAAAGGAUUGUUUCGGUCAAGUGUUGAAACGCAGAAGCUGAUGAACAAGAAACCCUGAGAAGCAAAUAAAUCUAGGUUGGCUAAAUGGUCAUGAAGUCGUGAUUUUAGAGAUUGCUUGAUCAUGAAGAAAAAUGAUGGCCUUUAAAAAAUACAAUGGGAGUGAGUUGAAGACAGUGAGAUGAAAGUUACUGUAAGUCAUGGUCCAAUAUUUAGGGUCAAUGGUCAAGCUUUGGUCAAUUGUUUGAGCAGAAGUCAACAACUGACUUUUGGUCAACUGUGGGUCAAAACUUGGAUUUUUCACGUAUCAAUUUUGUAAUGUUUUUUCUUGUAAUUUGGUACAUUUGAAUGGAUUUUGGCAAUAUGAAUGUAAUGUUGAAUUUUCAAUGUAGUAUUGAUUUGCAUUUUAAGAAACAAAGCUCCUUUGUAUUCUCCCUCCA